AAUCAACGCUGGCGGCGUGCCUCAGACAUGCAAGUCGAACGAUUAAGACUUCCUUCGGGAAGUGUAUAAAGUGGCGCACGGGUGAGUAACACGUAAGUAAUCUACCUUCGAGUGGGGAAUAACAUCGGGAAACCGAUGCUAAUACCGCAUAAUGCAGCGGCAUCGCAAGAUGACAGUUGUUAAAAGGGCAAUUCGCUUGAAGAGGAGCUUCCGGCAGAUUAGCUAGUUGGUAAGGUAAUGGCUUACCAAGGCUACGAUCUGUAUCCGGUCUAAGAGGACGGUCGGACACACUGACACUGAAUAACGGGUCAGACUCCUACGGGAGGCAGCAGUCGGGAAUUUUGGGCAAUGGGCGAAAGCCUGACCCAGCAACGCCGCGUGAGGGAUGAAGUAUUUCGGUAUGUAAACCUCGAAAGAAUGGGAAGAAUAAAUGACGGUACCAUUUAUAAGCUCCGGCUAACUACGUGCCAGCCGCCGCGGUAAAAC
rnacentral:rRNA from 1 species